GUAACCUGAUUUGUGGGGGAUAACCAGAAGAAAGUCUGGCUAAUACCGCAUACGUAGUACGACAUGGGAAAAGUACUAGAAAGGAUGCCUCUACUUGUAAGCAUUCACAGAAGGAUGGGCCUGCGUUGCAUUAGCUUGUUGGUGGGGUAAUGGCCUACCAAGGCGACGAUGCAUAGCUGGUCUGAGAGGAUGAUCAGUCACACUGGAACUGAGACACGGUCCAGACUCCUACGGGAGGCAGCAGUGGGGAAUAUUGCGCAAUGGGGGAAACCCUGACGCAGCAAUGCCGCGUGAGUGAGGAAGGCCUUCGGGUUGUAAAGCUCUGUCAGAUAAGAAGAAUGGUCAUGGGUCUAAUAGGCCUAUGAUUUGACGGUACUUAUCAAAGGAAGCCACCGGCUAACUUCGUGCCAGCAGCCGCGGUAAUACGAAGGGUGCAAGCGUUGUUCGGAUUUACUGGGCGUAAAGCGCGCGCAGGCGGAUUAUUAAGCCAGAUGUGAAAUCCCGGGGCUCAACCCCGGAACUGCGUCUGGAACUGGUAAUCUAGAGUUAUAGAGGGGAGAGCGGAAUUUCGCAUGUAGGGGUAAAAUCCGUAGAGAUGCGAAGGAACACCAGCGCCGAAGGGGGCUCUCUGGCUAUUAACUGACGCUGAGGCGCGAAAGCGUGGGUAGCAAACAGGAUUAGAUACCCUGGUAGUCCACGCCGUAAACGAUGAGUACUAGAUAUUGGAGCCUUUGACCGCUUCAGUGUCGCAGCUAACGCAUUAAGUACUCCGCCUGGGAAGUACGGUCGCAAGACUAAAACUCAAAGGAAUUGACGGGGGCCCGCACAAGCGGUGGAUUAUGUGGUUUAAUUCGAAGCAACGCGCAGAACCUUACCUAGGCUUGAAAUCCCGAGAAGAUCGACCAAAAUUGAUUGUGCUCUUCGGAGAACUCGGUGACAGGCGCUGCAUGGCUGUCGUCAGCUCGUGUCGUGAGAUGUUGGGUUAAGUCUCGCAACGAGCGCAACCCCUAUCCUUAGUUGCCAGCAUUAAGUUGGGCACUCUAGGGAGACUGCCUGGGUUAACCAGGAGGAAGGUGGGGAUGACGUCAAGUCCUCAUGGCCCUUAUGUCUAGGGCUACACACGUAAUACAAUGGUGCAUACAAAGAGACGCGAUCAGGUGACUGUCAGCAAAUCUCAAAAAGUGCAUCUCAGUCCGGAUUGGAGUCUGCAACUCGACUCCAUGAAGUUGGAAUCGCUAGUAAUCGCAGAUCAGC
rnacentral:rRNA from 1 species